rnacentral:lncRNA from 1 species
CAGCAACAGAAUGAAACUGAUGCAGACUCAUAGCACGCUCCAUUGAACACUGAGACUCAAAGGGAGGCAUCUUUCCAAAGGGGAAUCCCACGAAGAGGAGCUGAGUAUCCAAUUGUAACUGUGGCUUAAGGAUCCAGAUGACAUCUCCAUGAAACCUGUGUCUAUCACUCCAAGCUAUAUGCCCUGGUUUGAGUUGCAUCACAUCCCUGAGGCUGUGAUUACUGAUAAAUAGAAAGGGAGCCUGAAAACAUGGCCUUAAUGGUUAAAAGCAGUAACUGUUCUUGCAGAGGACUCAAGUUAGGUUUCCACCACUCAUGAUGUGAGGCUCACAACUGCCUAUAACGCCAACUAUAGGCACCCAACUACAACUCUUGGCCCCUACAAGCACUGAACUCAAAUAUACCUACCACACAGAGACACAAGCACAUAGACAUAAUAAAU